ensembl:lncRNA
AAAUCCCGGCCCACAGCAUUCUUGAUUACAUGGCACACAGGUAACAAUAGUUGAAAGUGUCUUGAAAAUAUGAGAAUUCACUCUAGAACCCUUCCCUUCUCCACUAACCCAGUGGGCUAGAAUACUCAAAUUUUCAGAAGUCUUUCCUAGGAACUGUAAUAAAAACUGACAAAAUUUGUUAGUUUACUAACUCUACUUUUAUCAAAACUGGCAACCUCUUUAACAUCUAGGAAGACUAGAUGUUGUCAAACAUCUCAUUUGUCCUCUACAUACCCUACUUAUACAAAUAAAAAUGUGCAGACCUGAGGGACAGCAGUAACAUCCCUCGCUGUGUGCAUAAGCACCACUCUGCAUUUCCCUCUUUCGAGAACCAGUGCAGAAACAGUGUGUACACUCGAGAGGGGUUUGCCUAUUACCCCACAAAACAACACUUCAUGUGAGCUCUGACAAAAAGAAAUUUACAAAAUGCAUUAUUUUACUACUUCUACUUUUUAACAUGUAUUAGGCAUUUGAAAGACCAGAUAUUUCAAUAAAGUACUUAGCAUUGUCAAUUACAGAUAAACAGUAAUGAGGACCAAAAUGCACACACGAAACAAAGGUUACAGUGCGAACCAUGUCUUCCACAUGGGGCCAGCCUGGUACUGGACGUUCUUCUCUCUUUUGCUCCGUGUCCUCUGACCACACAACAGGUGUGGACCAGCGUCACUCCUGUGUCGCUUCUCCAGAUGCUCUAACGAACUCCAUUUCAAAAAGUCACUUCCAGAAAAUGUUUUUCUGUCACUUUUUUUUAAAUCAAAUGGGCAUUUCCAAGAUGUUUGGUUUUUCUAACUACUUCAUCAUAUAUCGGCAAUCUCUUUACAUCUAUAUUGUCCACAGGCAGCAAGUUUUCUUUUAAAAAAUUAGGGAGAGGCUGGGGAUAUAGCUCAGCGGCGCCUGCCUGGCAAGAGCAAGGUCCCAAGUUUGAUCCCCAGUACCGAAAAAAAAUAAAAAUAAAAGGUUAGGGGGAAUGUUGAGAGCAGCUUUUUCAUAUUAUAUACACAGGCCUUCUAAAACUGGCCAGUAAAUCUUCUCAGAGGGUGAGGGGCAUUUCUAAUUAGCCAAACAGGGAAUAUUACUUUAUGUUUCUCUCUCUGGCAAUUGCCCAUGGCUCACCAGCUGUUCCACCCGUCCUCAGCCUGGGGUCCCUCACUUUCCAGUCUCCUCCACCUGGGAGGCAGCAGUCACCCUGGGACCCAGAUGUGCACAGUUCUAUGACCCGAACUGGCCGGGCUUUCAGAUCCACCUUCUCCAGCCCUUAUGGCAGCCAGAGGCCUCCAUUUUCUUACCAUGCUAUCCUGCAGCUGCUGCAAGGCGCUGACUCCUUGAUGGCCGGCAGACCCUGCCGCCUGAGAGGUUCUGCCCCAAGGCCGCCGGCCCCCAAUCAGGUCAUCGAGGUGGGGUGCGGAACACUUUGCCUGUGCUUUAAAGCCUGGGCCCAGACAGUGGGCAGUCACAGUGGGGAUCCCUUAGCCUGCAGGGCAGAGACACAGCUCAUCCUCGGGGCCCCAGGCCACCAUCACCAGGAGGGCCUGGGGGUCUCUUGGGAAGCAGGCUGCACUGCUUCUCACUGCACUCUCUGCCGGAACUCUCCAGGCCCUCCUUGCCUUGAGGGUUUGUGUUGAGAAGUCUGCUGUGAUUCUGAUGGGCUUUCCUUUACAGGUGAUUUGUUUCUUCUCUCUAACAGCUUUUAAUAUUCUAUUCUUGGGCUAAAUUUCUGGGAUCCUGACUCUUAUGUGCCUUGGGGUAGUUUUUUUGGUUUCUUAAGGGGAAAAGGUUUACUUAGUUCACAAUUCGUAGAGGUUUCAGCCCAUAAUCACUGGCUCCAAGGCAGGGAUGGCAAAACAGGUGCCACAGAGGAGAACCAACAGGGUAUGCACAAUGUAGCAAAGGCAACAAGGGACCUUAUGAGAGUGUCUUUCUGCCUUUUUUCUCUUAUUCAGACUACUGAGAUUAGGGCGGUGCCAAACCAAUCACUCAUGUGCAGAGGUUUGGUAAUCACAUGCCCUUAAUCGCAGCAUCACAUAUUCCAGAUUCAGCCACCUUUGAAAAAGCAUGAGGCUAGCUGGGGUGUGGUGGCACAUGCCUGUAAUCCCAGCACUCGGGAGGCUGAGGCAGGAGGAUUGCUGUGAGUUCGAGGCCAGCCUGGGCUAUAUAGUGAGUUUAGGGCCAGCCUGAACUACAAAGGGAGACCCUGCCUCAAAAAAACAAACAAAAAAGAAAAAGCAUGAGGCUUUAGGGAGACAUCUAAACACAAGCCAUAACAUCCCACCUUUGCCUCCCAAAUACUCAUGUACACCCCUUUACACAAAGGCAUUUAGUCCCUCUCCAAGCGUUGCCGAAGUCCUAACAGUUUAGCAUUGAAAAGUCCCAAGUCUCAGAUUUAAGGCAAACUCUUAGCUGCAAGCUUCUGCACAAAUGAAAGUUAAACACUUCCAAUAUUCAAUGCCAUAAGAUACAAAUUUCUACUCCAAAAGUUAUAAACAAGGAGAUACAAAGGAAUGGGUCCAAAGCAAGACCAAAGUCCAGCAGAGCAAACAUUAAAUCCCACAGUUCCACUUCCAGCAUCCCUGGCACUGUGUGGCAAGUUGUGAACUCCCAAGGGCUUGGGUGGCUCCACUCCUAUGGCACUACAGAUGGUGGAAGCUCCCACAGCUUCUCUCUUGGGCCAGUUCUGCUCCCUCCUGGCAGCUUUCCUCAUAAUCCAGGCUCCUGGCUUUUCCAAACCUCUGUGGUCUCCGCUGCAGCUUCACCUUCACAGCUUCACACACUGCCCUCUCAGGGGCACGCUGCCUGGUCCCCCAGGCCUUCUUCUGAAAUCUGAGUGGAAGCCUUCCUGACCGCACAACUCCUGCAUUCUAGAUGUACCUAAACCCAGCGCCAUGGGGAUGAUGCCAAGGUCUGCUGUCAGCUGAAGCAGUAGUAAGUAGCCAGACUUCCCUCUCUCUUGACUGUAGGGCUUCAGUGCCUGGAUCGCUAAGCACUCUGAAUCUAAUUCCAAGGAACAAAUUCGUAGGCUGCUGCUGCCGCCAUUAUGGAACAUGGCGCUCUAGGACUCCCUUCAAAAAGCAAAUUCUUUCACUUUUGCAACUUUGAGGCUGCAAAGGCUGGAGUCUUGCUGCUUUUUCUGAUGCCCUUAGGUCAUCUUUUCUGUUCUGUUCCUUUUUGGCAAUCAAGAUCUCUGAUCUGUCUUUGCAGUUCACAGCUUUAAUGGAGCUUCCUUUCUGGACAAACUCACACUGUUUUAAGUCAUUCUGCUGGGCUAUCUGCUCUUGAUUCUCAACAUAGAUCUAAAAGCUCUCAACAGCAGCCAUGACACCACCUCAACAUUAGACUGCCUUGAAAUUUCUUCUGCAAGAUUAAUUAGUCCACUCCCCUAAUCUCAGUCUCAGGCAAAGUCUCUGGACGUAAGCAAAAUGCAGACAAACUUUGUGCCAAGCCAUAACACACAUCAUCUGGAGUCCAACAGCCAAUGCAGUCCUCCUUCCCAGCAGACACUUGCUGAGCUUGGUCUUUACUGGCUUUCUGGUCGUCUGAGCUCUGAUCAGAACUUCUCAUACAGAAUAGCCUAAGGUGUUCCAGCUCUACCUCUAUAGCCAGCAUCUCUGAGUCUUUCCUAACUCUUCCCCUUCCCACAAGCCAGUUCCAAAGGCUCUUGAGCCACACAGUCAGGUAAUGUCACACCAACGACCCCACUUCUCUGGUACCAAAUUUGUGUUAAAUUUCUUUUCUUUUGUUGCUGAGACAAAAUACCCAACACCUAAAGCAAAAGGGGAAAGGGUUUAUUUAGCACAGUUUGUAGAGGUUUCAGUCCAUAGUCAGCUGGCUCCAAGACAGGGAUGGCAAACAGGCAACACAGAGGAGAAACAACGUGGCACACCCUAGGUAGCAAAAGCAACAAGGGUGGUAGAUUUUUUUGAUCAUGGCUAAUUGGAGUUUUAUAUGCCUCACUUAUCUGUAUGUCGGAUUAUUUUUCCAUGCUUAGGAAGUUUUCUGCCAUUACUUCUGUGAACAGGUUUUUUUAUAUCAUCUUUUGUAAUUCUUCUUUGUAUCACUGAGCAGCUGCUGGAUUUUUCAUGGUUCCUUGCUAUUUUUAAGAAGUCUUUCUUUUCAUGAUCACUAACCACAAUCCUAUCUUCUAUAUUUGAUUUCCUGUCCUCACAUUGGCUUGUUCUGCAGAUACUUUCAAUGAAUUUUUAAUCUCCUGGAUAUCUGUUUGAAUCUGUUUCAUGGAUUCCAUUUUUUCCCUAUGUUGGGCUUUCAUGGUUUCCAUUAUUUUCCCAAGUUCUUCUAAUUGUUUAUCUGUAUGUGCUCUGUAUUCACUAAACAUGUCUUUCAUUAUGGUCACCAACUCUGUAGUUAACUCAGAAAUUAAUUCUGAUUUGAAUUUUUCUAGAGCUUCAUUUAUCACUGUUACCAUUCCUGAGACUUCAGGCAGACGGUUUUCAAUUUGUUCCACCUCACUGCCUUCUGGGCUUGCCUUUUGUGAGCUGGAAAUCUGGAGUUUCACCUUCCUUAAAUGUCUUCCCAUUUUUUAGUUUAAUUCCUGGUUUGAUGCUUGUAAAUUGCUUAUGCCAAGCACCUUUAUUGCUAGUAUUGCUGAACCCUUGGGGAAUGACUAUUUCUCAGAGAUGUCUUCCAGGUGUAGCUGGCUUUUGGGUUUUGAGUCUGUUGCGAGAUCCUAUUUCUUCACUUUAUUGAGGAUGAGAAGUUGCUGCCUAUUUAGUCUAGACCCUGGUUCUUGGAACUGGCCUAUAGUAUUAUUUAUGACCCUUAGGCAAUCUUAGUCUUGGCAUUCCAGGAAGAACAACUGAUCAGAACAGUUAUGUCACUUUGGCUAACGUAGUACAAUCAACAAUAAUAGCAUCAAACACAGCCUAAAGGUAAACUUUGGUAACUAUUAAUUUGCCACCUUUAACCAUAUGGGCUAUAUUUGUGCUUAUAUAACAAAAUCUAAAACAAACCAGAAAAUUGUAUACAGAUAAUAACAUGCCUUUGAUAUGGCAAUUUUACCCUAGGGGAGAAAAUUUAAAAUAGAUUAGAAGGAAAAAUAGAGAAAUAGAAGAAGACAAAGAGAUUAGAAACAAGGCUGGAAUACAAAGAAAGGUUAUGCAAACUUUGGGAAACUGGUGAAGACAGGGAAAGAAAGAAGGAAGAAAUAAAAACAAGAACAGAACAACACAAGAAAACCAGAAAUAAUGUUCACAUUCACAUAAAAACAAAAACAGGGGCUGAGGAUUUAGCUCAGGGGUUCUGGCACCUGCCUCACAAACGAAAGGUCCCCAGUUCAAUCCCCAGUACCAAAAAAACAAUUAAGAAAAAAGAAAACAAAAAAAAUCAAGAAAAAAAUGUCACUUCAGGUGUGUCUCUGCAGUUAAUGGUAGAUACAGUGGUCAGACAGAGCCCAGAUCCAUGUCAAUUAAUCCCAGAAAGCCAGCUGUAGGGUUACAGCAAGGUAGAGAACAAUCCCAGCAAGCCUGCACCUUUAGCUCCACUGCAGUUCAGGCAGGUUUCUGGCUGUGAGGCUGGAACUCAUUUUAUUAAGCCUGCAGCACUCCACGUGCUUCCUGCCAGCUUGAACUUGGCUCCUUGACCUCCUGACGACUUGAACUUGGUUCCACCUCACCCUGAUGGAGCCAGCCCUCAGGUGCUCUGAGUUCCAAGCUCAGCUGGGCCCUCACAAGAUGGCUACCAGCUAUCGCCCUCUCCUGGUGAUAUACAGAACUAAAUUAAGUAGAAAUAUUCUAGUCAGUCAGACAGGGCUGGGCCCUGAAGUCAGUGCAGAGGAUGAGAACACACUGAAGCUGUGGCUGGAGGUUCAUUUGAAGAAGAUUAAAAGUCACAGUGGCCAGAUCUGCAUACUUCCCUAAGGGAUGAACAGAAGCUUGAGAUUAUCGGUACCACCCUUUUGGGCUUCCCCAUAUAGAUCAUUAUCUCAUUGGGAGUGGACCAUCCUCUCCCACCAAGACUAGGACAAAUUACUGACCAAGGUUAAUGGUGUCAUCCACACACCCUUGUUACCAGGGUUCAGUAUUACCCAAGCAACUAUAUUUGUGAUCUUAUUAGUUGAUUAUAGCUUUUACCCACAUUGUACCCACCCCUUAUAACUUUGCUCUAUAAAACUACCUUUUGAGAAGCUGGCUUGUUGGCAACCCAUGUGAGACCCCUACUGUCUCUCAGGAGCUAUUCUUAUUCCUCACUCCUAUUCCCCAAUAAAUUUUCCUACUCUUAACCGCUAUUGUUCUUUAAAAUUCAUUCUUCAACUUCGCCUAUCUGACAUUUAGCAUGCUGAGAGUUACA